UGUAAAGGUGUCAGACCAUGAGAUCUUGGC
rnacentral:piRNA from 1 species